GACCUGCGGAAGGAUCAUUACCGAGUUGAUUCGAGCUCCGGCUCGACUCUCCCACCCUAUGUGUACCUACCUCUGUUGCUUUGGCGGGCCGCGGUCCUCCGCACCGGCGCCCUUCGGGGGGCUGGCCAGCGCCCGCCAGAGGACCAUAAAACUCCAGUCAGUGAACUUCGCAGUCUGAAAAACAAGUUAAUAAACUAAAACUUUCAACAACGGAUCUCUUGGUUCUGGCAUCGAUGAAGAACGCAGCGAAAUGCGAUAAGUAAUGUGAAUUGCAGAAUUCAGUGAAUCAUCGAAUCUUUGAACGCACAUUGCGCCCCUUGGUAUUCCGAGGGGCAUGCCUGUUCGAGCGUCAUUUCAACCCUCAAGCUCUGCUUGGUAUUGGGCCCCGUCCUCCACGGACGCGCCUUAAAGACCUCGGCGGUGGCGUCUUGCCUCAAGCGUAGUAGAAAACACCUCGCUUUGGAGCGCACGGCGUCGCCCGCCGGACGAACCUUUGAAUUAUUUCUCAAGGUUGACCUCGGAUCAGGUAGGGAUACCCGCUGAACUUAAGCAUAUCAAUA
rnacentral:rRNA from 1 species